GUCUCCAGCCCGGGUGCUUCUCGGGGCCUCGGGACGCGCGGGCUGGACGCCGGCGCCCGCUGCCCGGUCCCGGCCGGCCUGAGUCUGGCCCGGAGAGGUCCUCCCUUCCCGCCGCAAGACCUUCCUGUCUGCAGCCCCUGGCCGCCACCUGCGGCCCUGCAGGUCCCCGCGGGUGGCCUCCUCUGCGGGGCCGGAGGGGCCCUCCUUCCUGGCCGGCCAUUUGUGGCAGGGCCCUGGGGUGGGGGUGGGGGCGGACGUCCGCGUGUCCGGCCAGUGCACAGGGAGACUUCCAGAAGCCUGCCUCCCGCCCCGGGACUCUCAGCCCGUCAGAGGGCUGGACACUGGUUAACAGAAGACCUCAGACUCGUAGUUGAACCCAGCCGUGUCCUUUCCUCCUGCCCCCAGUGCCCUGCUCUGCUCAGCCUUGGCUAAGGGCCGCUGCAAGGUCACAGCCCCUGCGUGGCACCGCCCGUGGGAGCAGAUCUCGGCCCUAAGGGGGGCAGUCACCGCUUCAUCACUGUCACCCUCCCCGUUGUGGCUGUGUGGACGGGGGAACCGUGGGCUCACCUGUCUACCCCCACCCCUGGAUCAGAGCAGGACUCCCCGUUAGGAGAAUGGGUCCCUGUUCCCCCACAGCCGGUGCACCGCGUGACCCUGGGCGUCAACGGCCUCAGCAUCAGAAAGUCCCCGAGUGGCUCCCUCUGAACGUCCAGGCUGCUAGGGGGCAUGGGCAGACAGACGGCCUGUCACCCAGGGGGAGACAAGGAAGGAUUCGCAAGAGGAACCCGGCGUCUUCUAGAUGGAAGAAGGUGAGGCUCCCCCAGACCCAAGUCAGGGAGACCCUCGGAUGGACCAGGGUGGGUUCAACGAGCCCGGUGGCAUCAGAAACGCGGAUUAACGUCACCCUGGGAGAGACAGCGUCCGGUGGAAGCUCCCAACUCAACCGGGUCUCAGGCCGCAGCCUCCCGGGGCAGGAGCAGGCCGAGUGACCAGCUGGAGCCCAGGAGCCGGCCGGGCCCCUGUGCGCAGUGGACUGGCCGGCCCCGGGGGUCUGGCGGCCGAGCUCCCGCAGUGCCGCCGUGUGGCCGCCGGGGGCUCUGCAGGAGGCUGGGCUGCAGGGGAGGGGAAGGGUGCAGGGCCGGGCGCCCACCCGCGGAGAGGUAAGUGACAGCGGUGAGCCCGCACCAGUGAGGCGGGGCUGGGCGGUCACCCCUGAGGAUUUCCCAGCAGACGUGGGUGCGCCCCUGACCGUGCCCUGAGAGGCCAGCGUCUCGCCUCCACCACGUGAGGAAGCUGGGGGCCCACUCAAGGUCAUUCACGCUCAGGCCCUGAGCCCGUGGGUCCCAGCACCUUCCCAACGCCCGCGCGGCCCCAAGCCUCUCCGCACCGGGCACUCCCACAGGCCUUCCCGCAUCCGUAGGUGGCGGGCGCUGGCCCUCGCCAGGAGCGGGCACAGCUUGAAGAACACGUCUGAGGACAGAGCCUGCAGCCAAGUCCAGCCACCGGACGUCUGCUUGCCAUGUUUCCGUGGCUUGGCCUGCUGCGGGGGGAGCCCUGGCCAGGGCGCUGGCCUGCCAGGCUCCAUUUCCGUAGGAAAAAGAGCUUCUCUGUGUCUGGGCUAACACCUGGCCCCUGACGUGCUGUGUCUUA